GAUGAACGCUGGCGGCGUGCUUAACACAUGCAAGUCGAACGGAAAGGCCCAAGCUUGCUUGGGUACUCGAGUGGCGAACGGGUGAGUAACACGUGGGUGAUCUGCCCUGCACUUCGGGAUAAGCCUGGGAAACUGGGUCUAAUACCGGAUAGGACCACAUUUUGGAUGGUGUGGUGGAAAGUUUUUCGGUGUGGGAUGAGCUCGCGGCCUAUCAGCUUGUUGGGGGGGUAAUGGCCUACCAAGGCGUCGACGGGUAGCCGGCCUGAGAGGGUGUACGGCCACAUUGGGACUGAGAUACGGCCCAGACUCCUACGGGAGGCAGCAGUGGGGAAUAUUGCACAAUGGGCGCAAGCCUGAUGCAGCGACGCCGCGUGGGGGAUGACGGCCUUCGGGUUGUAAACUCCUUUCGCUAGGGACGAAGCGUUAUGUGACGGUACCUGGAGAAGAAGCACCGGCUAACUACGUG
rnacentral:rRNA from 1 species